rnacentral:lncRNA from 1 species
CCAUGAGCCAAGGAAUGACAAUAGCCUGUGGAGGGUGGAAAAGCCGAGGAAAUGGGUUCUCCCCUAGAACGUCCAGAAAGAGCACGGACCUGCCGACGUGUUGAUUCCAGCCCAGUGAAACUCAUUUUGGACUUCUGGACUGCAGAACUGUUUCUUCCCUGGAGCCUCCAUGUCGACCAGGAUCUUGACCUGAAGGAAGAGGAUUCUGUACCUCUCCUAUCUCUGAACAGACAUAAUUGCCUUUUUUAAAAAAUGGCGUUUUUAAAUAGCAUGAAAAAAAUGGCAAUACCUCGACAAGGUCAAGUGACCCUAGGGACAGCCACAAGUUGGUGACACAAGAGUGUUGGUGGGCCUGGCGUAAGGAAGGGACUUUCAGCCAAAGCAAGGAGGGCGUGUGCUGCAUCAGAGCAGAGAGAAGCAGAACCAUGAUGGGGCAGGAGGGGAAUGGCACAGAACAGUAUCAGUGUAGAAGCAGUGGCCUGAGGCUCUGAAGACAGCACAGCAGCACUCAAUGGGCCACCGUGCGCAGAGCCCCUGCUGUAAUAAAAAUAAUGGCUACUGUUUACUGACGUCUUCCUAGUGCCCAUCCUUGUGUUUUUUCCUGUCUGAAUUCCUCACCACCCUCUUUGAGUGAAGAAGUUAAAUCCUCUUUGCAGACAGGAGGAGACUAUGCCUCAGAAAGGCUAAGUGAUUUUUCCAGAGUCACAGAGAUGGUUAGUUGCAGCACUGGGAUUUUCAAGAAGGUGCGCCAGCUUCGUGGGCCCAGGAUCCUGUGCAGUCACCAGGUCUAACGCUCUGCAGUCGCCAUCUUGAAAUCUUUAAUGAUUUUUGAACAAGGUUGCCUUGCACUGGGUCCCACAAAUGAUGCUGCUGGUCCUGUCUGGCUGGCAGGUAGGCCUUCAAUAAUACCUGCAUCCAUUAGCCACAAUGCAUGAAGACGGACAGGAAUGGUAAAUAACUCACCAAGGGGAGAAAAUCAAACCUAAUGAAUGAGAUACACUAAUGAAAAACAAACCAAUAUGCCCCAUAGAAUCACAGGAAUGCUCAGAAUUGGGGGAAUCAGGAACUUAAGAAGAAUGGUUUUGGGGCUUUGCCAUAUUUAGCGAAUAAAAAUAGAGGAUGACCAGUGAAAUUUGAAUUUCAGUUAAUCAGAGAAACUGUGUUUAGAUAAAAAAUGAAUAAUUUUUUUUUUUAGCAUUUGGGACAUACUUAUACUAUAAAGUUACUUGGUGGUUUAUCUGAAAUUCAAAUCUAACUGAGUGUCCGUGUUUUAUCUGGCAAAGGUAUUUAGAACAGUAUUUGAAUGUCUAUAAGGAGUAAGCAGACCUAUAGGUUCUGCUCUGAUAGGGCUCAGGCUGUUGAUUGGGGCAGAAGAUAAUUUCGGGCCUAUGGGUGCCUACCUUAGUCUCCCACGUAUGCCAGGGCAGUUAGGAGGAGCCGAGACAUUUUCAGUGGGGCCACACCCUCCAGUGAAAGUCUAAGUGCCAAGGCCUGGCAAUGGCCCUCAGAGUCACAUAGACUCCAGAGACCAUGAAGUCCUGUGACUUCCUCUUCAUUAUGGUCCUUCUCAUCUUGGAACUUUGAUGUCCUGGUUCUGGGCUGUGGAAGGUGGUGGUAUUCUCCCUGGUGACUUUUAGUCACUGGAUUCAAGCUCCACCCACAGUCAGGGAUGUAGGGGAUUCCUUCCCAGCACAGGGGUAUCCCAGUCCUCUGUCCCAGAGCCCCAGCUCAGAGCUUCCCUUCCAGUGGGCAACCCAGGCUUUGGGAGUAGGGGAGGCUGGGUGUUUGGCCAACAGGAUCUGAGUUCUUUGUGAGUGCUUCGUCUGGAAUCUGUCUGGCCCCCAGAACUUCUCCUCUGCCUAAAUGGCUCUGUAUCCUUCCAUCUCUCUCUUAUUCUCCCUCUCCCUUCCUCUUAUUCUUUAUACUUCCUUCACUGUCUUACUCUUCACCUCUUUCUUUAUUUCUGUCUAUGUGUUGGAUUCCUUUUAAUCGGAUUCAUAUUCUUUGUCUCUUUCUCUCUGUGUGUCCCUUACUCUCUCUUCUCUGACUGCCUGUCUCUCAGUCUUCAUAGCGAUGGUUCCAUCUGUUUGUCUUUAAUUGCUCUCCCUCAUUUCUGUCACUCUUUGUUUCUGGGUGUCUUUGUCUUUCCCUGAGACAGAAGUAUCUGUUCAUGAGUCCUACACGUGCCCUCCUGAGCCAGUGACUUUUUCCUGAUGGGAUGAUGAGGCACCCUGACUACUCUCCCCUUGAGGCCCCUGGGCAUGGCUGCUCCCCUACAGCCUCUCUACCUUUCACCUCCUGAGAACGUGGCUCUUUACUGAGUUGGGGAACGUGGCCCCAUCUCACAGCAGAUGAGAAGGAUGAGAAAGCUGGAUUCUUUCCCCUCAAACCCACUCUCUCGUGCUAGCUGAUUCAGCCCCAUGAUGCCGUAUGACAGGCAGAGCCCAGGGAGAAGAGACACCACCCUGGCCUCCGUUGCAUCACAUGCAGGGACUCUGUUGACAUCUCAGACUCCAGAGAGAACGCCCUGCCCAGAAAGAGUGGUUCCUGCUGGAUCAGGGGCUAGGUGUCCAUUUCAGUUGGUGGGUUGGUCAGUUGGUGACCCAGUCAGUCCGUCCCUCAGUGCCACAUGCCACCAGCUACAAGCACUGUUUAAGGGGACACUGGUGAGAAGGAAUCAGAUGCCCCUUCAGGAGGUGCAUUGACAGCUGAGAUGUGGGAGGGGUUGGUUUCUGUGGCAAAGCACGGAGCCAGGGCUGGAGUCUCACAGCAUGAGGGUGACAUCCAGAGCUUCCUACAACCUGCUCAUCCGCUUUGUCCAGUUGAGGUGAAGCCUGGAAGUGUCCAGGCAAGUCUGGCAAGGGCAGGAGACUCUCCCCCUGCACUAACAUGAAAAGAACUGCUAGUGCAAAGAUGACCUCGGGGGCUGUGAGGGCAGGUGUGGGAACAUGUGUGUCCCCAUGAAACCUAAAGAGGGGUCCAGGCUCAGAUCAACGUCCCCCGUCCAUCUUCCACUCCAUCCAGACCCAUGUGAAGGGGUUCUCUGCCCUGCCACCUCUGCCUGGCUUCCCUGUCCGUCAGUCUCAUCCCCACUUCCAGUCCUGCAGCAAGGAGCCUCAAAGAGUUACUAGCUUAGUGGAGGUUCUGCUAGAAACAGACUUGAGCCAAGGCCUUGAAUGCUCCCAGGAGAGACAAAGGGAUGAGCAAAAGAAGCCAAGCCAUUUGGGAGGAAGUCCCCACCUCAGCCUGGUCCCACAAGGAUCUUUGGAGCACAAAACAGGGAUUUUGUACUCCCACACUGGUCAGCCAUUGUCCAAGAGCUGAGGGGAGGGGACAUAAACUCCCAGACACUUCUGGUUCUCCAUCUGGGCAAGGAGACGCCUCUGAAGGAAGUCUCAGGGUGAACCCAUAGCAGCAAAACAAUAAUCCGGGUCAUGGUCAUACAGAGACAAUGAAAGGUGUGGAAGGAACCUGAGCAUGGCAUCCACCGUGUUCAAUGCAGUCAGUCACCUGGGGCAAGGCUUCCGUCUCAGACAUCUUUGGUGUGGGCCCUGGAAGAGAGAGCAGCUUUGAAUGGUUCAGGAAGUAGCUUCCGGACUAUAACCUGCAGCCCUGCUCUGUCUAGGAGAAGGCUGGAAGAUGUCCGGUGGCACCAGCAGCUGCAGAAGCUCCUCCUACAGAGAUGAACGUGUCAACGACAACCAGUGCAGGGGCUUUUUCAAGUGUUGCGAGGUCCUGUGUAGGAGGAAAUGUGUUUAUCCCACAGCAGACAGAUUGAUGCCAGUGUGAUGAAGCUGAGGAUUCCUGGUGUCCAGGGAGUCCACUUCCCACACAAGCCUGAGGUAUCCGCAGUCCCCGCUGAAGCCUUGGUGCUGCCACGGAUGCUUCCUCUGUGCCCGGUCCUUUGUGUAUUCCUGGCACCCAGAAAAGGGCUGGGCACGGAAAAUGUGUUUUGACCAGAGAACAAAUAAAAGCACACGCUUCUGUCGGCAUACCUGGCGUCUGUGAUUCACAGAGUCUCGCCUGGUGGCUGGGAGUGGGUGGGGAGCGUGGAGACUCUCCCACAGCAUGAAUCCUCACACUCAUGGACAUGGUUUUUGUCUAAGCUAUAGAUCUAGAAUUCAAAUUGCUUCUAGGUUUUUCCUUCAGGCAAGGCUAAGUUGUUCUUGUAGAAAAAACCGAGGAACUCUGCCAAAUAGAUGGACCAAGUUACCCUCUUACCUGCAGUGUAUAUGGGUCUCUGUUUCCCUGUAACUUAAUCAAUAAUGUGUUUCUGACUUUAAAAUCCUUCUCAAGCCGGU